AUUGAACGCUGGCGGCAUGCCUUACACAUGCAAGUCGAACGGCAGCACGGGAGCAAUCCUGGUGGCGAGUGGCGAACGGGUGAGUAAUAUAUCGGAACGUGCCCAGUCGUGGGGAUAACGUAGCGAAAGCUACGCUAAUACCGCAUACGAUCUAUGGAUGAAAGCGGGGGAUCGCAAGACCUCGCGCGAUUGGAGCGGCCGAUAUCAGAUUAGGUAGUUGGUGAGGUAAAGGCUCACCAAGCCGACGAUCUGUAGCUGGUCUGAGAGGACGACCAGCCACACUGGGACUGAGACACGGCCCAGACUCCUACGGGAGGCAGCAGUGGGGGAAUUUUGGACAAUGGCGCAAGCCUGAUCCAGCAAUGCCGCGUGCAGGAUGAAGGCCUUCGGGUU
rnacentral:rRNA from 1 species